rnacentral:rRNA from 1 species
AUUGAACGCUGGCGGCAUGCCUUACACAUGCAAGUCGAACGGUAACAGGUCUUCGGAUGCUGACGAGUGGCGAACGGGUGAGUAAUACAUCGGAACGUGCCUAGUAGUGGGGGAUAACUACUCGAAAGAGUGGCUAAUACCGCAUGAGAUCUACGGAUGAAAGCAGGGGAUCGCAAGACCUUGCGCUACUAGAGCGGCCGAUGGCAGAUUAGGUAGUUGGUGGGAAAAAAGCUCACCAAGCCGACGAUCUGUAGCUGGUCUGAGAGGACGAUCAGCCACACUGGGACUGAGAAACGGCCCAGACUCCUACGGGAGGCAGCAGUGGGGAAUUUUGGACAAUGGGCGCAAGCCUGAUCCAGCAAUGCCGCGUGCAGGAUGAAGGCCUUCGGGUUGUAAACUGCUUUUGUACGGAACGAAAAGCCCCGGGUUAAUACCCUGGGGUCAUGACGGUACCGUAAGAAUAAGCACCGGCUAACUACGUGCCAGCCGCCGCGGUAA